AACACGGAAGACAGUGAGCCCCAAACCUCCUCACAUUAUCGUCCUCUGACAGUGACAUUCCUCUCUGAAAAGCCUUUUCCACCGGGCUGACACUGUGUCCAAAUGUCCGCCUUUGCCGAAGAGGAUGUGGUGAAGCGAUGGGAAAGAUUUGUCUCUGGCUCUGGAGCUAUAAAAGUGCAGCUGGAAAUUGGAAAGAGGGGCGGGUCAGCGUGGGUUGGCAUGCAGAGCCUUGAUAGUGAGCAGGCCAGUCUGAGGCAGCAGGUGGUGGAGGAGGAUACAGAGGAGUGGCAGAGGAGCCUCAACUUCUCCGGCCUGGAGAGAGUCGGCGGGGUGGAUCUUUCCUUCAUCAAGGGGGAUGACGUCAACGCCUGCGCCCAGCUCGUGGUGCUCAGCUACCCUGACCUGGAGGUGCUGUAUGAGGACAGUCAGAUGGUGACCCUGACUGCCCCCUACAUUGCGGGCUUCCUGGCCUUCAGAGAGACCCCCUGCCUCCUGGAUGCCCUGCAGCGGCUGGAGAAGAGCCAGCCCGCACUUCUGCCUCAGGUGGUGUUGGUAGAUGGGAAUGGCCUCUUCCACUACAGAGAGUUUGGCCUGGCAUGUCAUCUCGGUGUCCUGUCAGGGCUGCCUUGUGUGGGUGUGGCCAAGAAUCUGCUGCAGGUGCAAGGUGUGGCCAAGGACAACGAGCACCAAUCACAGAUAGCUGCUCUCCAGAAAGGAGGAGACAGCUUCCCACUCACAGCUGCCUCAGGCAAAGUACUCGGCAAGGCCUUGCGUAGCUCAGACAGCAGCUCUAAGCCGGUGUAUGUAUCUGUCGGUCACAAGAUCAGUCUGGACACAGCUGUGCGCCUCACACACUCCUGCUGCCGCUACCGGGUCCCCGAGCCCAUCAGACAGGCUGACAUUCGCUCCAGAGAAUACCUUCGCAUUCACUUCCCAACUGCAGACACAUGAAUGAAGAAACAGGCAGAUCAAAAGUCAGGGUCAGCUACAGAUCCACAUCCCUGGAACUAGAACACCCUGGUGGUUGAAGAGCAUCAGGAACAUCCAAAGCACCGAGUGGAUCUUUGGACAGAUACUCUGCAUCUGCCCUGAUGCUUAACUGAAGCUAAAGCCACUUUUCUGAGCGAAAUAUGCAAACCCGAGAUGCCAAGGUAGGACGUUGGGCAAGGAUUAAUCUGGUCCAGGAGCAUCAAGGAAGAGCAAUAAUUAACCAUGAAAGAAGAGGCCUUAAAUAUCUUUGUGUGUGCGAGAGAGAGAGAGAGAAAUUGAGAAUGAGGGUGAGAUCAUGUGCGGCCACUUUGAUGUGGUUGGUGGGUUUGGGCUCAGUUGUGGACACACUGAGAUUAACUCUAUCUUUUUAUACAGAUAUGGGUCAGGCUGGCUCUUUUUAUAUAAUGAUCUCAUUACAUUUUGUGGGUCACUUGGCUUUUUACAUGGGGACGCUUGUAAAUAAAUCAUAAACGUUCCUGAUCUGC